rnacentral:lncRNA from 1 species
UGAAAUCUUUUUGGUGUGGAUAGUAGAGUUAGUAGGUUAAUUAUAUUAGUUAAUUGUAAUAAGGGAAUACAAGUCCCAUAUUGUUUAAGAUAGUGAAUUUUGUGUUAUGAAUUAGUCCCACAUCGUCCAAGUUAUGAAGGCUUUUCCUUCUCCCACUAGUAUAAAUAACUCAUGUACCUUUUAUUUAUGAAAUAGAGUUGAAGUUGAUUUUUGAAUAUGAAAUAAGCUGUGUGCUUAUUUUCCUCUAGGCUCUUUGAGAGUAAGAGGUGCAUCCUUGGCUUGGCCAACUAAGAUGGGUUUAUGGCUAUUUUCACCAUAGUGGGGUUGCUAACCUCGCCAAGAUUGGUGAAUCUAAACUAUGUCACCAUAGUGGGGUUGUUAACCUCGCCAAGAUUGGUGAUCCAAGCGACGUCCUGGCGUCAUUAACCUUAACUUUUUGGAACGAGAUCUUGAAAAAACGGCUUUAAAUUUGGCAAUAUCACCCAAACCAGAGAGAUGAGAUUAGACGAGCUUAUCUUAAAUGGGGUUCAUAUUAAAAAUAUUUUGACAAUUAUUUUCUAUCUGGCCCCCCCAAAAUUUUGUUUCAAGUUCCGCCACUG